UACGUAGGGGGCAAGCGUUGUCCGGAAUCAUUGGGCGUAAAGCGCGCGUAGGCGGCCCGGUAAGUCCGUUGUGAAAGUCAAAGGCUCAACCUUUGAACGCCGAUGGAUACUGCCGGGCUAGAGUCCGGAAGGGGCGAGUGGAAUUCCUGGUGUAGCGGUGGAAUGCGCAGAUAUCAGGAGGAACACCAAUAGCGAAGGCAGCUCGCUGGGACGGUACUGACGCUGAGGCGCGAAAGCGUGGGGAGCGAACAGG
rnacentral:rRNA from 1 species